GGACUUGGUACUACAAAAACCAUAGAUUGUCUUUAAUGGCUUGUAAAUGUACCUAAGUAGUCUCAUCCUCACAAUCUUCCUAUUGAUAAUGUAUCAUUAGAAGAAUAUGUUAGAAAAGGUCUAUCAUAAAGAGGACAACACUUUUUAUGUCAUAAUUCUUCAAUUACAAAUUGUUGUAUGAAGAAAUAAGAGUUGCUUUGAACAACUCUUAAUCAAUGCAAACACUUAGUGCUUGUUUCUUUGUUACAUGAACAAGGAACUUGAGAAGAAAGCACAAAAGGCAUGGACACUUAAUGUGCCAUGAUUCUUCACUUCCAAAUGUUGUAUGAAGAAAUGAGAGUUGCCUUGUACAACUCUUGAAAGUUUGUAAUUAUGUUUAGAACAUAAUGGUUGGUUGACAAAAAUAGUCCAUUAACAUGGACUUAUGAUGAUUUUGAAUCAUUGAGUGUUGAAGUGUUAAACCACUUAACGAGACGGAAACUAGGCAAGGACUUUACCUUUGUUUCCCUAUCCUAAAUGGUUCACUAAGUUUAUGGUAAACUAUGUAGUGAACAAUAACCACAUACUC
rnacentral:lncRNA from 1 species